rnacentral:rRNA from 1 species
GACGAACGCUGGCGGCGUGCUUAACACAUGCAAGUCGAACGAAAAGACGGAAAGAGCUUGCUCUUUUCAGAAUUGAGUGGCAAACGGGUGAGUAACACGUAAACAACCUGCCUUCAGGAUGGGGACAACAGACGGAAACGACUGCUAAUACCGAAUAAGUUCCAAGAGCCGCAUGGCCCAUGGAAGAAAAGGUGGCCUCUACCUGUAAGCUAUCGCCUGAAGAGGGGUUUGCGUCUGAUUAGCUGGUUGGAGGGGUAACGGCCCACCAAGGCGACGAUCAGUAGCCGGUCUGAGAGGAUGAACGGCCACACUGGAACUGAGACACGGUCCAGACUCCUACGGGAGGCAGCAGUGGGGAAUCUUCCGCAAUGGGCGAAAGCCUGACGGAGCAACGCCGCGUGAGUGAUGACGGCCUUCGGGUUGUAAAACUCUGCGAUCCGGGACGAAAAGGCAGAGUGCGAAGAACAAACUGCAUUGACGGUACCGGA